rnacentral:rRNA from 1 species
GACAGAGGUGCCGAGCGUUAGGCGGAAUCACUGGGCUUAAAGCGUGUGUAGGCGGAUGCCUAAGUACCUUGUGAAAUCCCACGGCUUAACCGUGGAACUGCUCGGUAUACUGGGUAUCUUGAGCCACUUAGGGGCGACCGGAACAAACGGUGGAGCGGUGAAAUGCGUAGAUAUCGGGAGGAACACCAGUGGCGAAGGCGAUCUUCUGGACGGAUACUGACGCUGAGGCGCGAAAGCUAGGGGAGCAAACAGG